CUUCCCAAAGUGCUGGGAUUACAGGCGUGAGCCGCCGUCCCCAGCCUUAAGUUGCAUUUUUAAUACUUUAUGAAGACUCUAAAAUGAGAGACUUGAUAACUUCUAGGACUAGUACCCUGACACAAUUUAAGGAGCAUAUUCUAAGUUUUUCAAGGAAAUGAUGGUUUAAUUGCUUUAAGAGGUAAAGACGAAGAAUUUCUGAAAGGCAGGUUUGCAAGCUCAGCAUCCCUGACUCAGUGCCCCUGGCCACACUUCACAUUUCAUAUCUGGAGAGAGAAAAGGACAAGAAAGAAAUGGCCAUCAAUGACUGCAGCAAAGCAAUUCAAUUAAACCCCAGCUAUAUCAGGGCAAUAUUGAGGAGAGCAGAGUUGUAUGAGAAGACGGACAAGCUAGAUGAAGCCCUGGAAGACUAUAAAUCUAUAUUAGAAAAAGAUCCAUCAAUACAUCAAGCAAGAGAAGCUUGUAUGAGAUUACCUAAGCAAAUUGAAGAACGUAAUGAAAGACUAAAAGAAGAGAUGUUAGGUAAAUUAAAAGAUCUUGGGAACUUGGUUCUCCGACCUUUUGGGCUCUCCACGGAAAAUUUCCAGAUCAAACAGGAUUCCUCUACCGGCUCGUACUCCAUCAAUUUCGUUCAAAAUCCAAAUAAUAACAGAUAACAAAGAUAACAACAGCUUUACAAGCUGACUUGGAAUUGUGUGCUGCUUGCUGUUAGCUAGGGGAA
rnacentral:sRNA from 1 species